rfam:Pisaster ochraceus mitochondrial DNA for NADH dehydrogenase subunits 1, 2, 3 and 4L, cytochrome oxidase subunits I, II and III, ATPase subunits 6 and 8, and 13 tRNAs
GCUUGAGUAGCAAAGAGGGUUUAAUGCUUGAGAUUUAGGUUCUUACAUCAAGGGUUCAAUUCCCUUCUCUAGUU